rnacentral:pre_miRNA from 1 species
UCACCUGGGGAUCUCGUUAAAAUGCAGCCUAACUUAGCAUCUGGGCAAGGGCUGAGAUUCUGAAUUUCUAACAAGUUCCAAUGUGAUGC